AUACAUAUAAUGAAAAUUAAAUAUGUUCAUAUAUAUAAUUAAAAUUCCAGUUUUACAUCUUUAACUCAACAAAAUAAAACUUAAAAACCAACUACGGGGGAGUUGAUUACAAAACACAACUCUCUCCCAAAAUGACGCCAACGUCAUUACGUCGGCUCGGCGGCUCCUUAUCAGAAUCUUACUCCCUACACCUUGCCACUGUCAUUCUGCUCCCACGAACAAGGUUCGUGAUCAUCACAGGUAUCAACCACACGGUACAAAAUUGCAAGGGUGAGUUUAUUAUAAAAGAACCAAUACCAAUUCCAAAUAACCACAAUUAGCAAGGAACAUAGCCAAACAUGAUAAGCAUGCACAACAAUCAUUAUUCAACAAAUAUUCAUCAUUCACAUCCAACAAUUACUCAUCAUCCAUCCAUGGACCCAAUCAAGACUGCACAAAAUGAUGCAUGCACCUGACUCAACACUCAGAUGCAAUGUGGUAAGUACCAACAACAACCAAAUCUCAGGAAAUAGCCUAAGCGUAUCCACAUGACACUCUCACUUAGGGAACUGUGCUGAGUUUGUCGAGACCACCCGGUUGUGCACGUAACAGCCCCCCUCCCAUAGGUGAUCAGCCUGGGAGCCCAAAGGUGUUUCCUACCAGGUGACAGUCCCCUAGUACAAAGUACACUUGGCCACAGUUACUCUAUUUCCUGUGUCGUAUGAGCUAUGAUCACGGCCAAAAGUAAGUGCCAUAGACCAUGGACCAAUUAAAGCACCUAAGCAUCCCCUCAGGAAUGCUUAGAUUCUCUAACCACGCUAGUUACCCACGUUUGGGCCAUCCGAUAAGGUCAGUGCACUCUACCCCCCAUGACAUACACUUCAUACGACGUAUGAUCGUGGCCAAAAGCUAGUGCCAAAGACCCUGGAAGGUCAGUGCACAGUGCCCCCCACGAUCAUACACAACAUCCAACGUAUGAACGUGGCCAAAAGCUAGUGCCAAAGACCCUGAAAGGUCAGUGCACAGUGCCCCCCACGAACAUACCCAACAUGCACAUGCCAAUGCAUUUCCAACAUCAAUCAACAAAUCAUAUUUCCAUGUCAUUCACAACAUAAAUAUCAUCUCAUCUCAAUGACGUUAUCAACAACAACAACAACCUCAUUUCAUUAUCACAUAUUCAUCAAUAAUAACAAUUCAUGUUGACAUGGUCUUUAUUAACAAUGUCAUCUCAAAUCAAUAUCAUCAUAAUUAUCAUUAUCAUCACAUAUCAAUUAAAAUCCUCAAUAGCAACAUCAACAACAAUUCAAACAAACACAACAAUAUCAUUUCCACACGCACGGUCUUCAAACAACCAAAACAAUAUCAUUCAUCACAAUACAUAUAUAUAUAUAUAUAUAUAUAUAUAUAUAUAUAUAUAUAUAUAUAUAUAUAUAUAUAUAUAUCGCAUCCCAUUAGUUAAAACGUAAUUUUCUUUGAAGAAAAAUCAGCAUGCAACAGGGACAGGCAGAUAUCCUCAUAGCUAGGUUCCCUAACCCUAACUAUGGUGUUAAAACAGUAAGUUUUAUAAUAAACUCCCCUUACCUAUCGUGAGCUACCCCGCGGAUUCCUCGUCGCGUCACUUGAAGAUUCCUUUUUGUCCUUGCUCGUCGAUUCCACACAAGCCUCUACCAUGCCAAAACAAAGGAGACUUAGUAUGGAUUUCAGAAAACAAAGCUAGUAACAGUGCUCUGGGUCAAACACCCACAUCACUACAUGAAAGAGCUGAGAGCAUUUCGGGUUUUACAAAGGAACAUCAUUUGGAAAUUCCGACCACGCCAAUGUGACCGGGGUUCAGUGUAGGUUACGAAAAUAACAUGCAUUUCAUGAAAGGAUAACAUUUACAAAGUUUCUUUCUCUAAGGUUUUUCAAAGGAAGCAUAAGACAUACAAUGGCGGUUCCAAAGUCAGAAAAGAUGCAAAGACAAGAUGAAACUAACAAGAAACAAGCGUAGAACCAUGGUUACCUCGAAAGAAAAUGAAAGGUCAGAUUAGGGUUUCGUUCUCUACCGAAAUCGCAAGCCAAGUUGGAAAUUCUGCUUCGGUUGAAGGGUUCCUCUCGGUGUGGGUUUUCAAUGGAGAACAAUGAUGGUUUGUGGUGGCUAAUGGUGGAUGUGGGUGAUGGAGAAAGUACUUGGAACUUUAGAAAUGGAUUUGGAAGAAAGAAAGAAGAAGAAAUGGCGUUUUUCCUAAGCUACACAAAAGUAAAGGCUAAAAUGCUUAAAUAAGAGAUGCUCUCGGGAACGGAAGCUUCUAGCACACUUCAGAAAUCUUCUCAAAGAUCCCAACGGUCAGAUCAUGGAAAAGUGUCUUGUGAAGUUGCAGACCAAAUUUAGAGAAGAUCCAACGGUUAACGAAGGUUGGGAAGCGUUUUUACCGAGGCAGCUUCAUGUAGCUUUCUCUAGAAGCUUCAUUAAGAGGCUUCCUCCAGAAGCUUCAUUAAGAGGCUUAUAGCACAGUCCAGACAUCUUCUAAAAGAUCCCAACGGUCAUAUCAUGGACAAGUGUCUUGUGGAGUUGCAGACCAAAUUUCGAGAAGAUCCAACGGUUAACGAACGCUGGGCAUCGUUUUUACAGAGGCAGCUUCAUGUAGCUUUCUCUAGAAGCUUCAUUAAGAGGCUUCCUCCAGAAGCUUCGUCGUGGCUUCUUUGAGAAGUUUUCUCAAGAGGCUUCUUUGAGAAGUUAGAUCCUUAUCUAUCCACACCCCUCUAUUAACUAAAUUAACUUCCUUAAAAAUAAUUACGGAUGAAAAUAACGCAACAAAUAAUCAAACAUCAAACAUAAUUACUAAUAAUAUAUAGAUAUAUAUAUCAGGGUGUUACACUUAUCAAGUCAGCUUUUCUAUUAAUUCAAUGUGUCUUUUUUUAUGUUUCAGUUUCCACUUUGUAGUUUUUGCCAGACUUUUUAUUACCCUAGUUUGGGAACCUAUUUCUCGUGGUACCUACAGAUUUCAUAGGUCAUUUGUUAAGAUCUUACCCUAGUUUGAGUCCAGGUUAUGCUUUUUGUUAAGUACUUUACGCCAGGUCUAUUUUUGUGUACAGUUGUAUCUUUUAAACUUCCAUGCCAUUUAUUGUGCUGACAUGUUCUUUUGUAGCUUCCCAUGUUUUCUCUUUAUCUUCUCAAUUGACAUUCUUUCCUGUGUGAGGCUCCUUUAUUGUUUUGAUGCUUUGUUUUUCCUCCUCUUCUUUUAAAAAUGCAUUUCUUCUCCUUUUUGUGUGUUCUUGUCUUCUUUGGAUUUCUUUCAUUUAGAAAUUUCUUUGAUCGCUUGUCUUUCCCUUGAAUGCUCAGCUUCUUUUCCUUUCAUUAGCCACUCUAUUCAUUUUGAUAAAUGUGUUUUUUGCCUUCAAAAUGCAAGGGUUGCUAAUACAAGGUUGGAGGUUGUUUGUGGUGCCUCUCAAAAAGACUAGAUUUGGAGCCAAUGUACUUUUGUCAAUGUUGAAUACAUGAGGAUUUUUUACUAUAUUUUAUUGUCUGCUUUGCAUUUUUCCUUUCAAUCUUUUGUAUUUUUCCAAUUGAUGUGCCUUCUUUUUCUACCGACAUAUGUUUUUGUGUCUUUAAAUCUCUUGGCAUGAAUUAUCUUCAACCUUGGUUUGGAAACCCAUUUCAUGGGGUGCCUACAUAUUUUGUAGAUCAUUUUAAUAAUAUUAUACUCUGAUUUGGGAACUCAUUUCCUAGGGUGCCUACAAAUUUCAUAGGUCUUCUAAUAAGAUUCUGCCCGAGUUUGGAAACUCAUUUCCUGGGGUGCCUUUACAUUUUGUAGGACUUUUAAUAAGAUUCUACCUUGAUUUGGGAACCUAUUUCCCAGGGUACCUACAGAUUUCGUAGGUCUUUUAAUAAGAUUCUACCCUAGUUAGGGAACCCAUUUCCUAGGGUGACUACAAAUUUUGUAGGUCCUUUAAUAAGAUUCUACCAUGGUUUGGGAACCCAUUUCCUGAGGUGCCUUCAGAUUUCUUAGGUCUUUUAAUAAAAUUCUACCUUGGUUUAGGAACCUAUUUCUCGAGCUGCCUUCAGAUUUUGCAGGUCUUUUAAUAAUAUUCUACCCCAGUUUGGGAGCCUUUUUCUCGGGGUGCCUAUAGAUUUCGUAGGUCUUUUAAUAAGAUUCUACCCUAGUUUGGUGUUAGGUCUGGAUGACCACUCCUCUCAUCUAUCUUGGAUUUUGAUGAAUAACAAUAAGUAUAAAUUAUGGAUGUUCUAAUAAGUUUUUGACAAGUGGAUAAGAUUAAUGUGUUAAAGAACUUAACUAUAUUAUGUAUCAUCCAUACUCCAAGAAAAUUGCUCUGUUUAUUAUUUAUCCAGCGUCCAAAGCGCUAAAAUCAAAAGGUGUCCACUCAUUAUGUAAUCUGUCAUACAACGUAGCCUUAUCUUCUAGUGUAAGACAACGGUCUUUUCAAGGAAUCAACACUUCUCCCGUAACAGAUUCUUCAUUGAAGUCUAUAUAAGGCAGUCUCUACCCAUUGAGAAAAACUAAUGAGAAAGCAAGAAUAUAUUUGAAGCAAAACUUUUAUGAAAUUAUUGGAUAAUUGAUAUAAAGUUUUCAUUUGUGUAUUCUUUGUUAAGAAAAGUUAUCUUGUAUUUGAGCUUUAUUGUUUAUUCACUCUUUGAGUGUUAUUGAAUACUUGUAUUCAUUCAAACUAUUGUUGAUGAAAGCCAAGAGUAACUUAGUGUUAAACAAUACUUGGGUUUCGUAGAUUCAAGGGGAGUCUAAGAAAGUGCCAAAAUGGUAUUAAGAAUACUUGUAUAGCCAGGAGUUGUAGGUUAGAAUACUUGUUUUAUAAUUAAGUUUUGAUCAAUAGGACCCUUUACUAUUGAGUAAAGGAGAAUUGGACAUAGCUCAGGUUAAGUGAAUCAAUAUAAACCAAGUGCUCCUACUGCUUUCUAUAACGAUUUAUUAAGCAUUUUAUUAGCACUCUCUGUCACUUCCUUAUUACCAAAUAUUUAUUUGAAAAACUGAUUUGAAGGACUCUUUCUUAUUAAGUCACUAGAUGAUCAAACCUAUCUUUAUUAAAACUUGUGAUCAAUUUAGUGGAUGUCUUGGUAAACAUAUACAUUUCUAUCUAUAUUUGCAUUAAAAGUAACAAAAGUUUUAUCUUUGAUAUACACACUAUUCAACCCUCCCUUUGGGAACCAAUUUCCUGGGGUGCGUAUAGAUUUUGUAGGUAUUUUAAGAUUUUACCUUGAUUUGAGAACCCAUUUCCUAGGGUGCCUAUAGAUUUCGUAGGUAUUUUAAUAAGAUUCUACCUCGAUUUGAGAACCCAUUUCUCGGGGUGCCUAGUUGUAGUUGAACAAGUCAUUUUCCUACAAUAGGACUUUUCUCCAGUUAUUGAUUUUGGCAUAACGUUGUAAAAAAUUUCUCCUUUUAUUGAUUUCCUCUGCAAAGUGGAUACAUUGGCAGUGUAUAUGUUGCCCGAUUUUCCUGCAAGAAUAAAAAAUAUCUAGAAAUAAUUUUUGUAACUUUUUACUCUUGUUGUUUUCUUCAUCUAGCUAUAGUACUUGUGCAGGUUGGAUGUGUUCCAUGUACGUGUAAUUAUGUCUCCUGAGAGUGUUUCCAAAACAUAAGCUCCCAUUUCGAUCUUAGCUACUACCUUGUACAGUCCCUCUCAGUUUUGUACAAGUUUUCCUUGGUGGUUGUUUUUCCCACCAAUGUCGGCUUUACACAAGACUAAGUCAUCCUUCUUGAAAGCACAAGGGAUAACCUUUUUAUUAUACCUAGUAGCUAUUUUCCUUUUCAGUUCAAUAUCUCUUACGAUGACCAUUUCUCUCUUUUCCCCAAUGAGGUCAAGCUCGGUUAAGUUUCCUUCAUUUUAAUUCAGAUUUGUUAUUCUGAAUGUUGACUCCCUUAUUUUUAGGGGAAUGAUGGCUUUAGUGUCGUACACCAUCCUAAAUGGUGUUUAUCCCAUGGCAGAGUGUGGGACUAUCCUAUAUGCCCACAAGACGUGUGGUAGUUGUUCUACUCGGGUUCCUUAAGCCUUUUUUUCUCUUAAACCUCUCAGGAUAAUCGAACUUGCUGCUUCAGCUUGACCGUUAGUUUGGGAUGCUCAACUGAAGCGAAUAUCUAUUUGAUGUUUAACCUUGAUAUCAACUAUUGGAAUUGCCUAUCAGUGAACUGAGUGCCAUUGUCGAUCACUAUAAUGUCGGGAAUUCGAAAUCUGUAAAUUAUCCUUUUCAAUAUGAAAUUCUUAACUUUUUUACAGGUUCUGCCUCAACCUACUUGAUGAAAUAAUUGAUCACCACCAUCGAGUAUUUGAAUUGCCCUGGGAACCUUGGGAAAGGUCCUAGUUGUUGGAUCAAGUGGCCUCGAAAUAAUUAAGAAGGGGAGGGGGUUGAAUUAAUUAUUAAUGAACCUUUACUAAUUAAAAAUCUAUCCUUCUUAAUGUUACUAGAUUCAAUUAGGCUUUUACUAUAAUGUUAAGAAAGUAAAGAACAAAAAUAGAAACUUAACCAAAAGUAAAAGCAAUAAUUAAAGUGCACAGCGGAAAUUAAAGAGUGUAGGGAAGAAGAAGACAAACACAAGAGUUUUAUACUGGUUCGACAACAACCCGUGCCUACAUCCAGUCCCCAAGCGACCUGCGGUCCUUGAGAUUUCUUUCAACCUUGUAAAAUCCUUUACAAGCAAAGAUCCACAAGGGAUGUACCCUCCCUUGUUCUCUUUGAACAACCAAGUGGAUGUACCCUCCACUUGAACUGAUCCACAAGAGAUGUACCCUCUCUUGUUCUCAGUUACAACAACCCAAGUAGAUGUACCCUCUACUUGUACCACAAAGGAUGUACCCUCCAAUGUGUUAAGACAAAGUUCUCAGGGGGUUAGUCCUUUGAAACUUUUUGAAGGGGAAACAAAAGAUAUCUCAGGCGGUUAGUCAUUUGAAAUCUUUUGUUUAAGGGAAAGGGAAGAAUCAAAAGAAUUCUCAGACUGUGUCAUUUUGAAUUCUUUGAAAAGGGAGAAGGGAGACACAAAAGAAUUCAGGCGGUUAGUCCUUUGUUCUUUUGGAAAAGGGAGAAGAGAGACACAAAAAGAAUUCAGGCGGUUAGUCCUUGGCGAAUUCUUUUUGGUAAAGGGAGAAGAGAAUAAAAAGAUAUAGCACACUUUUUUAUCUGUGAAAGAGCAAGGUUUGGAAACCAGAAAACUUAGAAAGCUUUUGGCAAAGGAAGAAGAAGAAGAAUAAGUAGCAAAGGUUUUUCAAAAGUUGUUCUAAAGAGUUGUAAAAAGUUAUUCAAAUGCAAGUUAAGGUCUUGCUUUUAUAGACUCUUCAUGUCUGGUCAAGAAAACCAUUGGAAGAGUUAUAACCUUGAGAAAACCUGAAAACCAUUGGAAGAGUUACAUCUCUUGACUUUUUAUUCAAAACUUGUCACUGGUAAUCGAUUACCAAAACCAUGUAAUCGAUUACACAAAGCAUUUUAUGAAAAGAUGUGACUCUUCAUAAUUGAAUUUGAAUUUCAACGUUCAGAUACACUGGUAAUCGAUUACCAAUAUAUUAUAAUGAUUACACCAUUUAAAAAUCAAUUGGAACGUUGCAAAUUUAGUUAAAAUAUUUUGAAAUCAAACUUUGUCACUGGUAAUCGAUUACAGGAAACUGGUAAUCGAUUACCAGAGAGUAAAAACUCUAGUAACUUAGAAAAUUUUGAGAAAAACUCUUUUGAAAAACAAAAUUGUGCUAUGUUUGUUUUUUGAAAAAUCUUUUCAAUACUUCCCUUGUGAAGUCUUCUUGAUUUCUUCUCUUGAAUCUUGAAUUCAUCUUCUCUUGAAUCUUGAAAUCAAACUUCUCUUGAUUCUUGAAUCUUCUUGAUUUCUUCUCAUGAAACUUGAAAUUAAUCUUGAUCUUGAACUUAUUGACUCAAUCUUGAAAUCAUUCUUUGUCAUCAUCAAAACUACUUGAAUCAACUUGAUUCAUCAUCAUGAAGCUUGCUUCUACACUAGUAUGUCAAUUCCCCACAAAAGAAAUGGCCAUGGGGAUGCCAAGUUGUGCAACUUGUUUGCCAAUGCAUGUGGUAUGUAGUCACAUGUUUUACAAGUUUUACAUCCCUGCACAUAGUCGGUCAUAUCAGUUACUACAAUUGGCCAAUAGUAGUAGGCUCUCAAUAUUUUUCCUGCCAAAGUCCUAUGUUUGAAAUGAUAACCACAACACCCCUCAAGUAUCUCAACCAUUAUGUACUCUGCCUCAGUCUCUUUUGGACACUUCAGGAGUGGUUGGGUGAAUCCUUUUCUAUAGAGUUUUCCAUCUAUUAUAAAAAAAUUGGCGGCUCUUUGUAAUUUCUGCCAUAGUUAUCAAACUCUCGAGUUAACUUGUUAACUCUUACGAGUUUAGGAGUCCACUUGUCCUCUGCGAGUUGACUCUUGGGUAAACUCUUUUUUUAGUAGACUCUGGGAAAACUCUAUAAACUCUAAGUAAACUCAGAAAACUCUCGAGUUUACCACCAAGUCAACGAGUUAGUAAGUUAAAAAAAUUAAACCAAAUUGUAAGUCAAUGUUUUAUUGUUUUUUGUCUAUUUAGCAUUUAACAUACCUUCAUUUAGCGUGUUAUUCUCAAAUAAAAAAUUCUCACCUUUAAUAAUAUCACAUAUUCUCUAAUAACAUCAAACCCUCAAUGAGAAUGAUCUAUCACUACUAUGACCUUUGCAAGUUAUUAUCUAGUAGUGAUGUAUUAUUACUAGACUUGGUUAUUUAAAUAUUCUAAACUUUAUGAUUUAUUGUUUUGCAUUAUUAUAUUAUUGAAAAUUUUAAUUAGUAUGUUAUUUAUAUAUAUUUUGUUGUUAUUUUUGUAUAAAGUAGACUCUUACAAGUCUAAGAGUUGAGUCCACGAAUUGAGUCUAUGAAACUCUCAUGAGUCUACGUAAACUCUCGAGUUUGAUAACCUAUUCUGCCUUUCUUUUUUGUCUUUACUCUUGAGUUUGAUAACCUAUUCUGCCUUUCUUUUUUGUCUUUUGGUCUAACACCAUUUUGUAUGUACUCUAAGAUCCAAGUCAUCUAACUUUCUUGGCUUUCUAUUAUCAUGAAAAACCUUGAGAUAUGGAUUGUUUGUUGGACAACAUUUUCCACUUCUACUUGUUCCUCUAUGUUGGACAAUUUUGAGAGUAAAUUCACUCUUGCAUUUUUCUCUCUUAGAAUGUAGAUGAAUUCCAACUUCUUUAACUUCUCUUUGAUUACCCCAAUUUUGUUGGCGUAUUGUUUUCAAAAUUGGCUCUUUGACUUGGGAUUCUCCAUUCAAUUGGUUGAUCAUCAACUUAGAGUCUUUGAACACAUUUAGCACCUGGACCUCCAUGUCGACUGCUAUUUCUAAGCCUGCAACGUAUGCCUCGUACUAUGCUUGAUUAUUUGUGAGUGGGAAUACUAUCGUCAAUGCUUGCUUAAGCACAACUCCGUGUGGGGAUUCUAACAGGAUUCUUGCUCCACAUCAUAUUUCACUGGAUGAUCCAUUAACCAAUAGAAUCCAAGGUAGUUCUUCUAGCAUUUUUUCAUCUUUGAUUAGUGUCAUUUCAUCCACAAAAUCGACAAGACAGUGAGCCUUGAGCGCUUGUCUUAGAUGAUUCUACAAACCAUAUUAUGACAACUCAAUCACCCAAGUUACCAUUCUUUUUGCUAAAUCAAGGCGGUGUAGUAUUUGCUUGAUUGGUUAAUCAGUCCUCACUAUGAUUAGAUGUGCUUGAAAGUAUGAACGUAAUCUCCGAUCUAAAAAUACUAGGGCUAGAAUGACCUUCUCCACCUCUGGGUACAUUAACUUGGUAUUUUGAAGGGUUUAACUUAUGAAAUACAUCAGCUUCUGAGUCUUGUUGUCAUUUUUCACCAGUGUUGUGCUGAUUGCUUCUUCAGCUACGGAAAAGUAUACACAUAGUGUUUCUUCUAGAUCUAACUUUUUUUAGAGUUCGUGGGGCAAGCAAUAUCUCCUUGAAUUGCUGGAAGGUGAAUUCACACUCUUCUGUCCAGUUGAACUUUCUAUCUCUUUUCAAAAUUUUGAAAAAAGGUAAGGCCUUUUCAACUAACUUAGCCACAAACAUCAUUAAUAUCGCCAAAUGACCAUUCAAUUUUUUAAUGUCCUUGACAAUGUUUGGAGUUUGCAUUUCCAGUAUAGCUCGACAUUUGUCAAGGUUUAGCUCGAUCCCUCUUUUUGACAACAUGUAACCCAAGAACUUGCUUGUUGACACUUGAAAAGCAUAUUUUUUUGGGAUUUAAGUGUAUGUUGUAUUUUUUUAGGUGGGCAAAGGUUUCUGCUAUGUGUUGCUCUAGGGUGCUACUCUUGACUAUUAUGUCAUCAACAUAGAAUUUUUGGUUUUGACCUAUUUGUUUUUAAAAAAAUGUGUUCAUCAUUUGCUGGUAUGUAGCUCCAGUGUUCUUUAGUUUGAAAGACAUGACCUUGUAGCAGUAGUUCACCUUUUCUGCCAUAAAGGUCAUUUUCUCUUAGUCAUCAGCAUGUAAUGGUAUUUGGUUGUACCCUAAAUAAGCAUCCAUGAAACUCAUAUAUAGGUAGCUAAAAUAUCCGGCCACCAGUUUAUCUAUGUUGGCAAGUGGGUAUGAGUCUUUCGGACAAUGUUUGUUAGAUCGGUAUAGUCAACACACAUUCUUGAUUUCUCGUUCUGCUUUUUGACUAGGACAACGUUGGUCAACCAAGUCGUAUAUCUGAUUUCUCUGAUGAAUCUAACUUCUUGCAACUCCUUCACUUGCCUUUCGAUUUCCUUUAGGCGUUUAGGAGUCAUUUUCCUCAUUCUUUGGCACACGGGUUUUGUUGAAGGGUUUACUGCCAACUUGUGAUAGAAGAAUUUUGGAUCUAUGCUCGAUAUAUCCAUCGGCUUCCAUAUGAAUAUGUCACCAUUUUCUUUGAGGAAUGAGGACAAAGCUUCCAUGGUUGUGUUGUCUGAAUCUGCUCCAAUGGACGUCAUUUGCUCAUCUUCCUUUCUGAUAUGAAGGUUCUGAUAGUUCCCUCUGAUUCUGACCUUGGUAUUCAUGCUUGUUUCUUGAUAUCCUCUUUGCAAUCCAAUUUAGUGAGCAUUACCUUGAACCAAGUUUUGACCUUGGGUUCAUAAUCCAUUUACUUCGACUUGCUUGUGCCUUUUCACUUUAGUAACUCCUUGUAACACUCGCGGGCCCUCUUCUUGUUCCCUUUCAAUGUUAUGACUUGCAUCUCAUUGCUAAGGAACUUCAUGGCCAAAUGAACUAUCGAGAUUACAACUCUCAGGGUAUUCAAAGUCAGCCUACCCUAUAUGGCAUUGUAAGAGGACUACAACUUUACCACAAUGAACCUGACCACAAUGGUUCUAGUUACUGGUGCCUUUCCGAAGGUUACAUGCAACUUUAUGUAUCCUAUUGGGGGUUAUAUGGUGACCAAAGAAACCUAUGAGGUCCUCAUUAUAGGGAAGUAACUCUGACAAUAGGAUUUUGAUGUUCUUAAAGAAAUCAUAAAACAAAAUAUCCACCAAGCUACCGAUGUUGACCAGCAACCGUUGUACCUUUUUGUUAUUUAUGAAAGCUUUCGCUAACAAGAGAUCGUCAUGGUCUGGAACAAUUAACAUGUCCAUAUCCUUGUUGUCGAAGGUCAAAGGUAGGGGUCUUCUGCCAUGUGUAGCGGUUUAGACUUCCCUUGCGUGCCUCUUUCACGCAUUGUUUGAAUGGCCUUUAUUGGCAAAUCCUCUUGCUAUAAUGUAGAUCACCUUUUGUUCCUGCAAUAGGAAGUUUGGUCGCCUCUCAGGGGAAUUCGACUUAUGUUUUAGCUCGGAUCCCUCCUAGUUUAUUACCUAUAGAUGAGUUUUUGUCUCCCUUUCUGGAGCUUUAUGUUGAUAUCUUGGCGAGCAUUCUCUAGAACAACCUUAUCUCUAGUAACAGUUGUGACUUCUUGACCUUUUGCAUUGUUCAUUGCAAUGUGGUCUGUCAUAUCGAGAUCUGUAAUUCUUUUCUUGACCUUGUACAUACCUACCCAACUUUUCCCGACGUAUGAGGAUUUUAGUGGCAUUUUUUAGCUGGAAGCAAUCAUCGGUGUCAUGUCUAGGUUUUCGAUGGUAGCAAGAAUAUUUUGAACAUCAAGGCUGACAUCCUGUAGCUUUACAUUCAUGAUCUCAUUCAAUAUUCUCCCUUGUGAUGCGUUCAAGGGAGUAUACUCAUCGUACCUCAAUUUGGUUUUGUAAGUCAGUCUCUCAUCCGACUUAGGUGGCUUGUUAGUUUUUGUCUAUGCGAUGCCUUUUUGCCUGUUUUGAUUUUCUACAAUUCUUAGUUUUCCAGCUUCCAAGUCAUUUCAUAAUUACUGUAUUUUUUCCACCCUUUUCAAGAAUUCCUCCAUGGUGUUAGGUGGUGUUUUUGAGAUGGAUAUGAAGAAAGGAGAUCCUUCCUUCACACUGUUCUUAGCUAGCAUUAGCACAACUGUUCGGGAUUCCGGCAAGUGCACCGGAUCACACAAGUAGUAUAAAACGGUAAGAACCGAGUAUCGAACACUCGGGGAACUUGUGUUAUUUAGUAAGCUAUUUCGGUAAAUAGGCAUCUAGUGUGUUAAAGUAAGUGUGAAUAUGAACAAGUGUAUAAACUAUCUGUUCAAAAAGAAAGAAAAUCACGUGAGACAAAUGAUGUGUAAAAACAAGUAGAGAACACGUUGGUCUUCCUAAUAGGUGCCUGAUGCUAAAAAAAUAUUCUCUAUCUAAUAAUGCUCAUGUGUUCUUAUGGUGUCUCCUGAGAUACUAAACCCCGAUUCCUCAUGAUAGUUUAGCCUAAUCCUGAUCAAGCAUCGUCCGUAGAUUCCUCUUGUAAGACUAAACUCAACCAGGACCGCAUUGAGACACACAUACUCAACUAACUUAUCGCACCCCAAUUCCUCAUGAAAGCACAACAACUCAGCCCUGCACUAUCAAGGACUUUAGAGUCAGACCAGUUUCCACUGUUGAAUGACCCUAACAAAGCAUGCAUCUACGCGAUCAAGGUAAAGACAUACUGGAAUGAAAAGCAGAUAGCACAAAGAACACACAAAACAUCAUUAAAUAGAUAGAAAUAUAUUUACAUCAGGUACCUACAGGGAAGAUCCAAUAGGGGAUUUAGCUUUCCAUACCAAGAAGCCUUCUUAACAACAAAGAAAAGAACAAGAUGAAAGAUUGCAAAAAUACAAGUGGUGAUGAUGUCUCCUUCACCUCUAGGAUCUCACAAUCACUCACAAACUCAUCUCAAGCUCUCAAACCGGCUCCUGCUUCAAGAUUUGGUCUCUGCAGAUCUUCACACAGCAAAAUCUCUCAAAACUCUUUGGAACUUGGACCUUUCUCUCUCUAGAAACCCUAGACAUGCAAAGCUCUGAAUCCCAGUCCAAACUCUCUUCACAAAAUCUGAUUUCAAGCUUAAAUAGGUGGCAUUGUUCGUGCUUGUGCGCUUAUCGCACGUAUGGACCGCUUAGCGCACGUUAGUGAUUUUUGGCUUAGCACGCCUUUCUCGCUUAGCGGAUGAACUGAAGCGGUGCGCUUAGCGAACCUGUACAGCUCAUCUUCUUCUGAAUUCUUCCUCGCGCUUAGCGCAGGAGUGUUGCGCUUAGCGGAUGCUCGCUAAGCCAGCAUAUUGGCUUAGCGAGAAGGUGAAAACAACCUUUUCCAAAGCUUGCCUAAUUAACCUGACUAAAGUUAGUCGUUUUCACCGACUAACAACCAUAAAUUGGGAGAGUUUGAUACAAUUUAUACAAGUUUUAUACACAAAAGUUAGUCGUUUUCACCGACUAACAACGACUCCUGAUUGUAGAUUGUCUAUAGCUCUUGCUUCUUUGUUGAAUCAUGUGAAGUAGUCUUGGAGCGGUUCUUCAAGUCCUUGUCGGACCAGUCUUAGAUUGGCCUCCAUCUUUGGUCUCUCUUUGCUAUUUGCGAAGGCAAACCUUUAUUUUUCCCUCAGAUUCAGCCAUGAAUCAAUAGAUCUUGAUGGAAGAGACUAAAACCACUUCAACAUUGUGGAUUUUAGUGAUAGUGGGAAUGCACAACACAUUAUUGAAGCGUAAGCUCCUUUGUAUCAUAACAUUGAAUUGAAUGAUGACAAAUGAUCUUUCAGAUCGGAAGAUCCGUCGAACAGUUCCAUUGCUGGAAGCUGUUGUAGUUGUUUCAAAACUUGAAGUUCAACCAAAUGUUUGGAAAAUAACAUGUUGAAAGGAAUGAUUUCAUCAAAAUCCACUUCUUACUCCAUCUCCGUGGUGAUGGUGAUCGGAGAUUCCUUCUUCUUUGACUUUAGUGGAAUAUGUGAUUUUGAAUUCUCCAGUUCAUUUUCCACAUGCUUUUCCUUAUCAAUGAGUUUCCUUCGCCUUCCACUACGUUUGAGUACUCAUUUCAAGCAUUGUCUUUUUUCGUUCGUCGAUCAACAAUCAAAUUUUGAUGUUUUACCAACAUUUUUUUCUUCUAUUUGAGAAUUUCUACGAGCUCAAUCAGUUGCACGCUCGUGAACGUCACUUUUUCUUCCAUUGUUGGCGAAGUUGUGGCUUUUGUCACAAGUGAAGAGUUCAUCGCUGCUAUUGAAGCCUUACUGCUUCACAUGCUCACCAUAACAAAGAUCCACAAGCAAUGGAUCCUUUCAUCCUAGAGAAUCGAUGAUUCCCACUAACGAUUCCAUUGUUACAGUGUAGGUCACGAAAUGCAAUUUGCUUCAUUCAAUGUGUAAUAGAAUGAGAGAAGAGAAGAGACUCAGAGAGAGAGAGAGAGAGUUCUUUUUAGUCUAAUGUUAUUGAGUUUUUGUUGUGAUGCCACCUUGUGUGAUUACAUGGUACUUAUUUAUAGUGUUUGCUCUCUUGACAUUACUAAUCAUGUGGCUUAUUACAAGUAUUUGCAUAAGGGCCCUAUUCUAAGGAUUGUGUUGAACUUAUCCUAAGUCGGUUGCUACUAAUAUAUUCAUUGCUUUGAGUGGUUUUUUAAGCUUGUGGCCAACUUAUUAUCUUCAAGUUGGUCAUAGUAUGCUAAGUUGUGUGUCACGUGUUUGUGACGCAUAAAUUUUAAAUUUACUUUAAAACAAUUGUUUUUGAGAGACAAUGUCAACUUAUCAAGUAAAAAGUUAAUAUUUAUCCCGAAACACUAAUUAUGAAGGCAUAGUGAACUCCCAUGUUUGCAUCCCAAGAUCAAAUGUAAUGGAGAAUUGUGUUUGAUGUUAUUGUUAGAAAUUUGGUUGAAACCCGCCUCUCCAAGUAUGCCACCUUUCCAUUCUUCCUUUGCAAAAAUAUUAGAUUUGUUAAAGAAAAAAAUAAAAAAAAAUAUUGCUACCUGUAUAAAAAAAAUAUAUGGCUUUAAUAUCAUGGAAGUCCAACAUGCACUAUUUCAUAGAUCCAGGAUUAGUGUUGUGAGCAGGCAAACCGAGAGCAACACCUAGGCUAUGUUAGAAACAAUUGCAACAUGUUGAAGCUCUUAUAGAGAGUUUAACACUUGAAAAUUCAAUACUUCCAGAACUAUUAUAGAUAAAAAUAAAAAAAUAAAAAAUAAAAAACCCACAAAAUCUGCUCUGCAGCUACUUGAUCUUUCUGCCCAUCAAACUAUUUAGAGGGAGAAGAAAUACACAUGAUUCGAAAUAAUGCUAAAUAAGAUUCUGUAAGGUGAACAAUGACAUCCAUACUCCACAAAAAAGAAGAAAUUGGGAACACUAUAAUUAAUGGUUUUGGUUUGCAUGUGCGCAACGUCAAAUUUCACACAUCAUAUUGGAUAUAUAGUCUCUCACAGGUUGCUCAGAAAUUUACCUCUUUUCCUUGCUUGUUAAUUUCUUUAACCCCCUUUCGGAACAAUAUCAUAGUUCCAUGUGAUCCUCAAAGUACUGAACAAUGCCUCACAUUCACUGCCAUUACAAGUACGGCCGGAUAACAAUGAUAUAUCGGAGUCCUUAAAUUACACCUGACACAUCUUGUGCGAUUUUUUAUUAAUGCAUUUCAAUGGCUUACCAAAAAAACAUGAUGCAAC
rnacentral:lncRNA from 1 species